rnacentral:rRNA from 1 species
ACACCGCCCGUUCACACCAUGGAAGUGGAUUGCACCAGAAGUAGAUAGUCUAACCUUAGGGAGGGCGUUUACCACGGUUGUGCUUCAUGACUGGGGUGAAGUCGUAACAAGGUAGCCGUAGGGGAACCUGUGGCUGGAUCACCUCCUU